UACGAAGGGUGCAAGCGUUGCUCGGAAUUAUUGGGCGUAAAGGGUAGGUAGGUGGUUACGUAUGUCUGGGGUGAAAUCCCUGAGCUUAACUCAGGAAGUGCCUUGGAACGGCGUAACUAGAGUACUAGAGAGGUUCGUGGAAUUCCCGGUGUAGCGGUGAAAUGCGUAGAGAUCGGGAGGAACAUCAGAGGCGAAGGCGGCGAACUGGAUAGUAACUGACACUGAACUACGAAAGCGUGGGUAGCAAACAGG
rnacentral:rRNA from 1 species